rnacentral:rRNA from 1 species
GAUGAACGCUGGCGGCGUGCCUAAUACAUGCAAGUCGAGCGAACGGACGAGAAGCUUGCUUCUCUGAUGUUAGCGGCGGACGGGUGAGUAACACGUGGAUAACCUACCUAUAAGACUGGGAUAACUUCGGGAAACCGGAGCUAAUACCGGAUAAUAUUUUGAACCGCAUGGUUCAAAAGUGAAAGACGGUCUUGCUGUCACUUAUAGAUGGAUCCGCGCUGCAUUAGCUAGUUGGUAAGGUAACGGCUUACCAAGGCAACGAUGCAUAGCCGACCUGAGAGGGUGAUCGGCCACACUGGAACUGAGACACGGUCCAGGCUCCUACGGGAGGCAGCAGUAGGAAAUCUUCCGCAAUGGGCGAAAGCCUGACGGAGCAACGCCGCGUGAGUGAUGAAGGUCUUCGGAUCGUAAAACUCUGUUAUUAGGGAAGAACAUAUGUGUAAGUAACUGUGCACAUCUUGACGGUACCUAAUCAGAAAGCCACGGCUAACUACGUG